CUUUCUUAUCUUCAUUAAUCUGCUCCACGUCCCUUAGCUGGGAAUCAAACCCUGUUCGCUGAUCCCAGCACGCACCUGCUCCUUUCCUGAGUGCUCACUGGAUGGGUCCUUUCCACCCGGCCACGCUCCUGCAAGGAGAAGAUGCUCUAACACUGCUGAUGCUGGACUAGAACCUGAGACCCAUGGUCUCUACUAGACAAAGCAACAUAUUCUACCUUUAUUCUCCAUUCUUUCCUAGGCAGAUAGGUGGCAAUCCUGCAGGCCACACGUUCGCCACAAUGAUUGUUUCCCUUCUCCGAAUGCCAACAACACAUGUAACCCCACGUUACAAUUUAGAGCCUGAUAAUAUGCUGUCAUGUCUCGUCUCAUGUGCUCAUCUCGUGCCUCCAACUAGAGUCUGAACUUUUCAAAUAGAGGGCCCAGGAAAGCUUAGGAUUCUCUUUCAUUCUUCCCAAAGCUAAACUCCCAGCAGCACUCAAUCAAUACUUGUUGACUGGCUGAUCAGGCUAGAUUAGGCCUGUGAACAUGACCACCCCCAAGGCCCCGACCAAUACACCAGAAAAGGGCUCACUUGAUCCCAGUGCUUUCCCUGCAUACACUGGUCCUCUGGGUUUCGGCUACUCUCUCCUUCCUUUGAUCCACACUUGUAAACAUGAAUUUACUCAUCUUACUCCAGCUUCUGGAAAGGGUCCCCAAGCAUCAAAGGGACAUCCAACCUCACAAACACCAGCAAUGACCUCACCCUCGGAAUGGAGGACACUAAGUGGGGCUUGUUAGGGGCUGAAAACAGUGCAAGGUCAUCUCUGAACUUUGGGGAUCAGUUAUGAGGUUUCCAUUUCUAUGUGGCCCCGUGUGAGGCUGAGAAUGGAGACAGAAAUCAGCUGUCUUCAUCUCAUAGGUAGGAAGGCACUGUCAAACCCACCCUCUCCCAGGGAAUCAAAGACCAGAGACUUUAAUAGCUCCCCACGGUGACUAACUGUGGAUUUUGGCUAAGGAAAAAGCAGAAUGCCAUCCUCACCAGAUACGGCAGCAGAUGAAGAGAAAGGAGCAAAGGAGCGCCAUCACGGGCCUCAGGAGAACGCUGCCACAGCAUGGCUUGAUGAGCAGUGUGUAGGCCUACACCCAGGAUCCAAACUUACGAACCCCAGGCUGCCAAAGCAGAGCGUGAGAACUUAACCACUAUGCCACCAGGCCAGCCUCUAAAAAAUCACAGGAAGUCUUUACAAGCAAAUGAGAAAAGUAAGGGUGAGUUGGCCAAGAUCGCCCAGCCAGCAAGCGGCAGAGGAAUAAACUGACCCCAGGACUUCCAAAUGCUACGGCCUGUGCUCUGGGGUGUCUGCAGCAGGAGUGGCAGCUGAGCAUCGGGACUGACAGUGGGGACCUGGGAGUCACCAACACUCACCUUUACUGGCUGUGUGACCCAGGGUGAGUUAAUUAUCCUCAUCUCGUCUCAGUUUCUUCAUCCAUAAAACAGUGCUAAUAACAACUGUGACACACGGUUACCGUGAGGAUUAAAGGAGAGAAGGUAUAUGCAAAGCACUCAGCUCACUGGCCAACACACAGUCAACACUCACGAAAUGGCAGUUGUUUUUAUUACACUCCACUGCCCAGGCAGGGACAUCUGUGUCUUCUGAACUCUCUACUUGCCUGUAUAGUGGCCACGAGAUACAAAACUCUGUAUGCAGCAGGUGCUUAACACAGGUUGGGGAAGAACAACUUCCUUCUAUCCAGCUACCCCACCUCCCAAACAGCCGUGGCCGAGAUUCACAGCCACAGGCGACGAGAAUAAGCCCAGUGCCAGAGGCAGGGUGGGACUGCUACACCGGGUCACAAUGGCCAGGGGGGCUGGGACCAGGUGGCAUCUGUGAAUCUGCCCUUGAUGAACACGUUCCGGGCCCAAGGAGGCCACGGCCACAGGCCACCCACAAGAUGGCCGCCAGCGGGGCGUGGGCAGCCCGGCACACUCGGGCCUCCCCGGUGGCGGCCGCGUUUCCUCCACUUUCUGCCUCACACCUCCCUCCCCUGGGGCUCCAGAUCUCUGCUCCCAGGGCUGGGGAACAUGUCUGUCCUUGGUGAGAAGAGCAAAUAAAAGCGCAUGGCCUACUUCCAGCAACCUCGCUGUUUCUCACUUGAAGAUUAAAAUAAUAAACACACAGACAUAGAGGCUGGAGAGUGAGGGGGAAACGAAGCAGCAUCGGAGCCGCGGCACGAGGCCUCACGCAGCCCAGGGCUGCGGUAACCUGGCAACCUGCGAAAGGAAGAAGGCAGGAAGGGGACCUGUGUACAAGCAACAGCCAACUGUCACAGCCUGAGACGAUGGGAAAUGCAAGUCCACAGCAAAUCCACUCAGCACCUACAUUUACUCGAGGCCACCUGGUGGGGGAACUUAACCCCAGAUCUCUUGGGAGCUCAGUGACUCCAGCAUCCUGCCUCUGCCACGAGCUGGGAGGAAGAUCUCUGCGGUGUGUUGAAUGCUCUUUUCUUUCUGUUCCUGUGUGGCUGUGAGCCUCUGCAUGGCCAGGAGACGCCACCUGCCCCUGCCAGCCAGGCUGCCUCUGCACCUGUGCCAGAAAUCCUACCCAGGGAGUCCCUGUGCCCCAUGCAGGCCACAGGGGAGCCUCCAUCGUGCGGCAGCCCCACUCAGGUUGCAGCUCAGCCUCUGACCAAGCAUAAGGGACUUUCCUCCUCCUCUUCUCCUGGCAAUUCUGGGGGGCUCUUCCUGAAACUGGCUGGAAUGAACCUGGAAGGGUCAGGACUCACUGGAGGCAAAGGGGCUCCAGGAAGGAGGCAGAAGUUGAAGGGGGCUCUGAGGAAUCCAAAACUUGCGAUAAAAACAGCAGGAGCAAAGGCAACUGAAGGGGCAGGAAUGACGUGUGGAAGAGCACGGAAGCAGAGCCCUGCAGGCUCAGAGAACAAUUUGUAGAGAAGUCUGACUGGCCGAAGGUUUCUUCCCUUGUUCAUUUUUUGAAAAUUUACACCUCUGCUUUUAAUUGUUUCAUAUUUUACACACCUGUCGGUAAUGUUUCAUUUGAAUAAAAU
rnacentral:lncRNA from 1 species